UUGCGGUUAUUUUUGAGACGGCGCUCCUCAUUGGCUACUGUGGACCUGCAAUAUUCUGUUCACUGUACGAGCGCCUAAGAUUGGCUACGUUGGAUCUGCAAUGCGUCAAGCAAUGGCGCUUAAUGUUACCUCAGUGGUUUUGGAAAAUGGUGUAACCGGACAGUCUACAUUGUAACACAGAGUAUUUUUGCAACACUGUAAAUAAUUGCUUACGACAAGACGUUUCUUUCAGUCUUUGUAGUUUCUCAAAAUGUUUCCGCCUCACCUGGCAAGGGCUCGAUUUGAGUUUUUCGGGAGGAGUGGUGGUGAUUGGCGAUUGGUCACCGCAAACAUACACGGAACAUGUAGUCGCGGAAUUUUAAAUGGCGGGUUUCGAUGAAGGAAUAUAGAAUUACAAUAUUAGAAAGCUUGUGCUGAUUCCAAGUCUAUUUUGUAAAUUAGACCAGUACUGGAUACAAAAAUCAAGAUUUAUCAAUUUACUAUGGCUAAACAAACUGUUUAAUAGUAAUGAUGAUUGAUUUUAGACAAUUAUCUCGCAGCCUGCAACAAUCAAUGGACUGGAAAACCAUUGAAUUAACGAUGAAUCCCAACAACAUUCACGCUUUAAUCAGUUUAUGGAAGUGACUGAUUGAUUCAUGCUCAACGAUGAAUAGGCUAAACUAAAUCAUAAAAUGUGCCAUCAAGAUAACAUGAUUUAGCCUAAAAUUAUAGCUACUACCCCUCCAACAAACCACAGUCGCUUCUGAGAUGACGUCAUAUUUAUCCGACUGUUUACAUGCAGAGGAGAACAACACAUGGCUCUAUUUCCAGCUUUUGUACGAUUAUCAAAUACAAAACCUGAGAAUGCACCUAAAGUGAGGAGGUGCAGUGUCAGCUGGAGGGGUCUUUUGUGUGGCUGGACGACCUCUAGACCCCCACCGAUUGGCCCUUCUGCGUGGACAGAAGAGCAGACCUUUCCAACUUGGAGUACAAAUCGCUCUACAGAGAAGACAUCGCUAGCCAUCUUCCUCCAGCAGUGUCAUUUCCUCAGGCAUGCAGGCCACUCAGAAAAGGCUGUGCGCCUGUUCCAGUGCCUGCUGGACUUGACCUUCUUCAAGCCAGACCUAUCCACCAGACAACAGCCUACAGUUCCUGAAGCCUGCUGCUGGAUGACCUGGCUCUGCUGGGAGACGUUCAUGAUCCUGACUCACCUCUGACGACCUUCCCGUCAGCCCCGUGGGUCACAUGACUUCGCUGCAGGGCACCAGGAGGGGGGCUUGGCUGUGCAAGCAGGGGGAGGAGUUUCUGUUCUCUACUCAGGAGAGAUCCGUCUUCUCACUGCACUGGAUCCAGUAUGAGAAGCUCAAGGUAACGCCAGGUUAUCCUAGCUACAAGCUUUAGAGUCAGGCAACCAUAUGCUCAGCCAAGGGCAAUUCCUUUGGUUUGAAAGGCUUUUUCUAAUCGUGAAGGAAUUAAAAGUAAUUGUAAGUGGAGGUGGAGGAGGAGGAGGCCUGGCGAGGGGGUACGGACAGAGCAGUGGCAGGGAAGACUGUCACUAGGUUAAGUAGGCUCUAGUUUAGUCUAAUCUUGAUUAUUGUCCAGUCGUGUGGUGCAGUGCUGCAAGGAAAGACCUAGUUAAGCUGCAGCUGGCCCAGAACAGAGCGGCACGUUCUGCUCUUCAUUGUAAUCAGAGGGCUGAUAUAAAUACUAUGCAUGCCAGUCUCUCUUGGCUAAGAGUUGAGGAGAGACUGACUAUCACAUUAAUCUGUUGAAAAUCCCAAAUGGUUUGCAAUUCAAGUUACACACAGCUCUGACACACACACUUAUCCCACCAGACAUGCCACCAGGGGUCUUUUCACAGUCCACAAAUACAGAAAAAGUUCAAGAAAGCGUACACUAUAAUAUAGAGCCUUUAAUGCAUGGAACUUUCUUCCAUCUCAUAUUGCUCAAAUAAACAGCAAACCUGGUUUCAAAAAACAAAUAAAGCGACACCUCACGGCACAACUCCUCUCCCCUAUUUGACCUAGACAGUGUGUGUGUAUGCAUUGAUAUGUAGGCUACGUGUGCCUUCAUGUAAUUCUGUCCUUGAGCUGUUCUUGUCUAGUGAUGUUCUGUAUUAUGUCAUUCUGUAUUAUGUUUCAUGUUUUGUGUGGACCCCAGGAAGAGUAGCUGCUGCUUUUGCAACAGCUAAUGGGGAUCAUAAUAAAAUACCAAAUACCACUACCGCAGUGUCUUCACGAGCGGUCUCUAUCCUCACCAAGCUAGCAGAGGGUAGUUCGUAUGCCCCCUUCACUGGACAGGUGGCUCCAGUGGCCGUUCGGAAGCCCAGGAAGGCAUAUGAGCAGCCGGUGGUGAGCUUCCUGCCGGGCAGGUCAAAGGACUAGUGGGGUGGUAUGCCCUGUUCCAUUACCUGACUGUGGGGGUUGAUGCUGCAGAUGCAGUCUACAGCCUGGCCAAGGAGAGGCUGGAGCAACACCCCAGUAUGUCAGCCCAGGGGUCAGCUAGCAGCGAGCGACACAGACACAGAGCUCUACUGCCUCCGAGGGUGAUGCCCUGGCUGUCCAGCAGGCGGCACUGCUGUGCUACCACAGCAGCACCCGCGUGUACCCAGUCAGCCAUCUCAGACUGGAGCUGACCUCGGUGCUAGCCUGCUCUGGCUCGAGUGCCCCCCUGUGGCAGCUCUAUGUGCCUACCAAAGCGGCGGCAGGGCAUGCCGCUUCUUCCACAGCGUGACCAAGGCUAGCGCCUGUUCGCCAUCAGUGCAGAGGAAGCAGCUGGUAGACGCUACAGACGUGGGAACACUGAGGAUGGAAGACUUUAAUCAGUAUCAAUUUAAUCAAAUAAUGUUGAUAACAGAGCACACACACAGAUAGUACUAGUCUGCAGUAGCUCACAUUUAGAUUGAAGUUCAUUGGGUUAGCUAACUGGAGGAUUUUUCGGAGUUGUUAUUGCUUUCUUGGCAGGUCUGGUUGCUAUGGCGACACCUUCUCCAACCUUCCAGAGAACGGCCUAAGCAAACGUAUUCGCUCACUGUUUGAGAACGCCAUAGCAACAGAGCACGGGGUCCCACUGUCCGUGGCUGUGGAGGAUGUACAUGAACUUCCUGGUAAGACACCUCUUUAAAACAUACCCCUAAAUCAUUAUCCAGUUAUCAGUUCCAAUAGCCGAAUGAUGAAGGAGCAUUGGAAGUAUGGCUGACGUCAGGUGUUUUGUUGUGUACUAUAGGUGUCAGAAGGGAAAGUGGAGAAGGGAAGAGUGCUCUCCAGGAUGUCCCAUGGGCCAAGGUGAGCACAGUGACAGAUGAAAUGAUGAAACAGUGAUAAUUAGUAGCUCUUUGGUGUGUUUUAGUAAGAAUAUAUGAACUUGUUUCUGACGUGUGUGUGUGUGUGUGUGU
ensembl:lncRNA